UCGGUCCCACCCCUUCCCAUCCCGAACAGGACCGUGAAACGACUCCACGCCGAUGAUAGUGCGGAUUGCCCGUGUGAAAGUAGGUAAUCGUCAGGCU
rnacentral:rRNA from 2 species